UUUGGUUGGAGUUGGCUGUGUGUA
rnacentral:piRNA from 1 species